rnacentral:rRNA from 1 species
GGGACCACCUGUGGCGAAGGCGCCUCACCGGAACGGCUUCGACGGUGAGGGACGAAAGCUGGGGGAGCAAACCGGAUUAGAUACCCGGGUAGUCCCGGCCGUAAACGAUGUGCGUUAGGUGUAUCGGUGACC